GAUGAAGAACGUAGAGAAAUGCGAUACGUAAUGUGAAUUGCAGAAUUCAGUGAAUCAUCGAAUCUUUGAACGCACAUUGCGCCCGCCAGCACUCUGGCGGGCAUGCCUGUUCGAGCGUCAUUUCAACCAUCAAGCCCCAGGCUUGCGUUGGAGCCCUGCGGCUGCCGCAGCCUCCUAAAAGCAGUGGCGGGCUCGCUAUCACACCGAGUGCAGUAGAUUACUCUUCGCUCAGGGCGUGCAGCGGGUUCCGGCCGUGAAACCCCCUACUUUUAAAGGUUGACCUCGGAUCAGGUAGGAAUACCCGCUGAACUUAAGCAUAUCAAUAAGCGGAGGA
rnacentral:misc_RNA from 1 species